rnacentral:rRNA from 1 species
AUUGAACGCUGGCGGCAGGCCUAACACAUGCAAGUCGAACGAUUGGCGGACGGGUGAGUAAUGUCUGGGAAACUGCCUGAUGGAGGGGGAUAACUACUGGAAACGGUAGCUAAUACCGCAUACCUUCGGAUGUGCCCAGAGGGGAUUAGCUAGUAGGUGGGGUAAAGGCUAACAUGGGCGACGAACCCUAGCUGGUCUGAGAGGCUGACGGGACAACCUGGAACUGAGACACGGUCCAGAUUCCGACGGGAGGCAGCGGUGGGAAAUAUUGCACAUUGGGCGAAAGCCGAAUGCAGCACUGCCGGGGGUAUGAAGAAGGCCUUCGGGUGGUAAGGUACUUUCAGCGGGGAGGCGUUACCCGAAGAAGAAGCACCGGCUAACUCCGUGCCAGCAGCCGCGGUAAUUC